ACACCUCAGACUUUACAAUCAGAUUUAUUUAGGGUUUGUUUUUAAAUUGAGUCAUGGACUGGCCAUGGUUUUAAUCUUGUGCAGCUUUAGUUGUCUUAUCUACAAAACAAAGACUAUGAGACUUAUCUUACAUUAUUGUGAGUCAAUUAAUGACAGACCCCCAGAGCUCUACCUGCUCAGCAUGAGACAGUCCCUGUCCUACCCUCUACACCACCAUUGGCCAACAGAAGCGACUCUUUGCCAGUCUGAGCUGCUUUACCAAUAACUGCUGUGAUAUAUGACCUGAAUUAAUCACUUUAACCUCACUCUCCCAGCUUAUGUCACUCCUCCAAAAGAGGUCGCGGUCACCUUUUGUUCCUUUAAUUCUAAUCUCCAAACAGACAUGAAGUCAGUGAGGAAGCAUUCUUCAAGUUUUUUAUCCCUCUUCCCUACUUUACUGCACAAUCCAUCUAUAUUUCCAUUUCUAUCUACUAUCAUCUAUCACCCAUCAAUCACCCAUCUCUCAUCCAUGUAUCAAUCUAUUAUCCAUCUAUUAUCUAUUAUUCAUCUAUAAUCUAUUUACCUUUCAUCUAUAAUCUAUUUUAUGUUCCAUUUAUCUAUUAUGUGUGAUCCAUCUGUUCUUUAUCAUCCAUCUAUUGUUUAUCCUCCAUCUACCAUCUACUAUUUAUCAUCCAUCUAUCAUCUAUCACAUGUCUAUCAUCUAUCGAUCAAUCAUCUAUCAUCUACCAAUCAUCCAUCAUUCAUCGUCUCUAAUCUCUCAGGUCCCAUCUGUCUCUCAUCUCCCAUCUCUUAUCUGCUAACAAUCUAUAUCUCUAUCAUCUUUCUAUCAUCCUCUCUCUAUGUCUCUGUAUCUAUCUAAUUUCUGGAGCCCUGUGAUUAGCCCUUAUAAUGUGAUCAAUACAACAAAUCUCACUGAAUACAUGAGCACUGAAGACGUUGAGACAUACU
rnacentral:lncRNA from 10 species